rnacentral:rRNA from 1 species
UACGAAGGGGGCUAGCGUUGCUCGGAAUCACUGGGCGUAAAGGGUGCGUAGGCGGUUUGUCGCGUCGAAUGUGAAAACCCGGGGCUCAACCCCGGGCCUGCAUUCGAUACGGGCAGACUAGAGUUCGGUAGGGGAGUCUGGAAUUCCUGGUGUAGCGGUGAAAUGCGCAGAUAUCAGGAGGAACACCGGUGGCGAAGGCGGGUCUCUGGGCCGUAACUGACGCUGAGGAGCGAAAGCGUGGGGAGCGAACAGG